CGAACGCUGGCGGCAGGCCUAACACAUGCAAGUCGAGCGGAUGAAAGGAGCUUGCUCCUGGAUUCAGCGGCGGACGGGUGAGUAAUGCCUAGGAAUCUGCCUGGUAGUGGGGGACAACGUUUCGAAAGGAACGCUAAUACCGCAUACGUCCUACGGGAGAAAGCAGGGGACCUUCGGGCCUUGCGCUAUCAGAUGAGCCUAGGUCGGAUUAGCUAGUUGGUGAGGUAAUGGCUCACCAAGGCGACGAUCCGUAACUGGUCUGAGAGGAUGAUCAGUCACACUGGAACUGAGACACGGUCCAGACUCCUACGGGAGGCAGCAGUGGGGAAUCUUGCGCAAUGGGGGAAACCCUGACGCAGCGACACCGCGUGCGGGAUGAAGGCCUUCGGUUGUAAACCGCUCUCAGCAGGGACGAAAUUGACGGUACCUGCAGAAGAAGGCCGGCCAACUACGCGCCAGCAG
rnacentral:rRNA from 1 species